CAGUAGCCACGGUAAUACGAAGGGUGCAAGCGUUACUCGGAAUUACUGGGCGUAAAGCGUGCGUAGGUGGUGGUUUAAGUCCGUUGUGAAAGCCCUGGGCUCAACCUGGGAAUUGCAGUGGAUACUGGGUCACUAGAGUGUUGUAGAGGAUAGUGGAAUUUCCGGUGUAGCAGUGAAAUGCGUAGAGAUCGGAAGGAACAUCUGUGGCGAAGGCGACUAUCUGGGCCAAUACUGACGCUGAGGUACGAAAGCAUGGGGAGCAAACAGGAUUAGAUACCCCCGUAGUCCCUGUCUCUUUACA
rnacentral:rRNA from 1 species